UACAUCCAAAUCAAUAACGGCUAGACCGUUAGCUACUGUGCUAGCUAGCUGUCAACAAGCCAAUAUAUAUUUUCAUGAGCACCUAAGCUACUUAUCAAUAUCUGGUUGAUAUUCUAAUGAACGGAGUGGACUGUACACAACAUUGUGGAUUGGUUGAUCGUUUUGUAGAUCUGUAGUCGAGCCACAUCGCCGACCCUAACUGGAGUGUAGCGAAAUGUUGCUGCUAGCCUAGUGGCUCUCUGGCUCGGUGUUUCGUAUUGUAACGUUAGUGUGAAUGUGCUGGGUCCCACUGCGACACUGACCAAGACUGGGCAUAUUGUAAUACAGAUGACCAUCGUGUUUGUGUUACGUUAACGUAAUCACUUGUUUAAAUACUUCCCUGGGGAUGGAAGCGUUGGAGUUGUUCUGCUCCAAGCGACUCCUUGCCUGGCCUAACUUGAGGCCUUGUAGGUAUGAACUGAUCAUGAUUCACUGCGUGAGAACACUCCAGAUCGUGACACGUAGGGUUAUUGACAUGACCAUUAUCUGUAUAAUAUUCUAAAUAUCUAAAUUCAUAGAUAUUGGCAGCAAUCGAAGUGUCAAGCCCCUGGCUGACAUCCGGUUUACCACGCCUAUAUAUUACAUGUCAGCAUGACUUAUCAAUUUUUAGCUUGCUUGUUGUGUGUCAUUAAGCUUAUUGUUGUAUGACUAAGCAAAAUCGGGCUUUUGCUCAGUUGUUGCUUUGUCAUUGUUUCAAGGGUACCACUUUUUUAAAUCUUCCAAGGGUACAUCCAUUUUGUCUAAUUUGGCCAGAUCAACUUAUCUAUACCAUGGAGCUUCCUCAUCUGGGCGAGCACUGUACAGAAAAUACCUGCAAGCGCUUAGAUUUUCUUCCGAUGAAAUGUGACGCCUGUGAGGACAUUUUCUGUAAAGACCACAUAACUUAUGCAAACCACAAAUGCACUUCGGCUUACAUGAAGGAUAUCCAGGUCCCUGUGUGUCCCUUGUGCAACAUUCCCAUUCCCAUCAAACGAGGAGAAAUGCCCGACAUCAGAGUCGGAGAACACAUCGAUCGGGACUGCAAGUCGGAUCCUGCUCAGCGAAAAAGAAAGAUCUUCACAAAUAAGUGUUCACGCGGGGGCUGUAAGCAGAAGGAGAUGAUCCGUGUGACGUGCGACCAGUGCCACCUCAACUACUGUCUUAAACACCGGCACCCGCUAGACCAUGACUGUAAAACAGACGGCAAGCCGUCCUCCAAAUCUGGGAAUGCUGCUUUAUCGAGGGCCCAAGGGGUCCCCUCCCACUCUGCCUCCGGCUCCAGCUCCUCCAGUCAGGGUCUCUCCAGGCCUGCCUCGUACAGUGCCAGCACAGCCUCCGCCCGGAGCAACAACAGUGGCAGUGCAUCCCGACGAAUUCCCACGUCAGUGUCCGCCCCUUCAGCACAGAAUGUAAUUCCAGCCUCGGCUUCCUUCCAGGCGGGCCUGACGGAGGAACAGGCCUUACAGAGGGCACUGGAGAUGUCCCUGGCCGAGUCGAAACCAGCACCUAGCCUCAGGUGCGUCGGAAUCUGUGCUCCUUAGGUUUUAUUUUACUGAAACAUUGGGUAUCCUAGAAAAUGAGGGAGGAUGAUGAUGAUGACGAAGGUGGUUAUUGUGCAGCCCCCAGGAGCAGGAGGAUCAGGCCCUGGCUCAGGCUCUGGCCGCCAGCCAAGAAGAAUUCCGGCGCCAGCAGCAGAGACAGCAGGUGAGAGAAACCAAAAACUCGACCUGCAGUCUAUCAUAAAGCUGGAUUCCUGCUGUCACCCUUGUCCUACACAUGACAAAAUGGGACACAGAGAUUCAGCAGAAGAGCGUUAUUGCUAUCCUUAACUGAUGACAGAAAUUCUUGAAAAUUGCCGAUAUUACCGCCUUCCAAUAUAAGCACAUACUGCACCAUCAGGAUAUGUCAUUUUUACCAAUGAGUUGCUCUGUACAUAUUUUAUAUGCUAAUCAUGUAACAAAAUAUCCACAUAAAUGAAGAAUAAAUUAUUUUAAAGAGA